rnacentral:ncRNA from 1 species
CAUAAACUCCGAGCUUACUUAACCUACGUUUUGUAAAAAUAUGGUGGUAAUGCCAAUAGUACGCAGUUUGUAUUAUUCAGGGAUACGUUGGAAACGGCUUAUCCUCUCCGUUUUUUAGAAAGGUGUCAAAUGCA